rnacentral:rRNA from 1 species
GACGAAUGCUGGCGGCGUGCUUAACACAUGCAAGUCGAGCGGUAAGGCCUUUCGGGGUACACGAGCGGCGAACGGGUGAGUAACACGUGGGUGAUCUGCCCUGCACUUCGGGAUAAGCCUGGGAAACUGGGUCUAAUACCGGAUAUGACCUCCUAUCGCAUGGUGGGUGGUGGAAAGAUUUAUCGGUGCAGGAUGGGCCCGCGGCCUAUCAGCUUGUUGGUGGGGUAAUGGCCUACCAAGGCGACGACGGGUAGCCGACCUGAGAGGGUGACCGGCCACACUGGGACUGAGACACGGCCCAGACUCCUACGGGAGGCAGCAGUGGGGAAUAUUGCACAAUGGGCGAAAGCCUGAUGCAGCGACGCCGCGUGAGGGAUGACGGCCUUCGGGUUGUAAACCUCUUUCAGCAGGGACGAAGCGCAAGUGACGGUACCUGCAGAAGAAGCACCGGCUAACUACGUG